GUGCUAAGGUAGCAUAAUCAUUUGUCCCUUAAAUAGGGACUAGAACAAAAGAUUUAACAUUUCAAUUUAUAUCAUUAAUUAUAUAUUCAAAAUUUACUAAAACGUAAAAAGACGUUUAUUCUUUAGAAAGACGACAAGACCCUAUUGAACUUAACUUUAGUUAAACUGGGGCAGUUAAUAAAAUAUUAUUUUUAUUUAUAUAAAAUGUCAUAUAUCCAAAAAUUUGAACAAAUCAGUUACCAUAGGGAUAACAGCGUUAUAAUAUUUCAUAGUUCAAAUAAAAAAUAAAAAUUUACGACCUCGAUGUUGAAUUAAUUACCUAUUUUAAGCAAAAAUAAAAUAAAGGAAGUCUGUUCGACCUUUAAAUAAUUACAUGAUUUGAGUUCAGACCGGUGUAAACCAGGUCGGCUUCUAUCUUCUAUAUAAAGAUAUACAGUACGAAAGGACCUAUAAAAUUUUAUAAUUUCAUAUUAGCAAAUAAAUGCAUUAGAAUUAGAAUCUAAAAAAACUGAA
rnacentral:rRNA from 1 species